AGAAAGCCCAAUUCCAUCUGGCCCCUGCAGGUUGGCUCAGCACUGGGGAAUCAGAGUCCCCUCCAUGACCAAGGCACCACUCCACUGACAGACUCUGUUAAUCAGCUUGCUUGGCUGGCCUCCAACCAUAGGUCCAGGGGCUGAGACAAGGUCCUUUUGAGCUCCUAUGUGGGAGGCUCUGGAAAGCUUAGCAACACUUUCCAACAACUUUGCCAGGGUCACAUCUCCCAGGAAGAUCUCACUUCCCCACAGAAGCUCUUGGCCUGGCCUCCUGCAGUGCCACGCUCCGUGUAUUUGACAAGCUGAGUUGGACACUCCAUGUGGUAGAGUGUCAGUUUGUCAAAUACCCCAAGUGCGGCACAUGCUUACCAGCUCUAGGCCAGGGCAGAUGGGAUAUGACGAAUGGACUGCCAGCUGGAUACAAGGAUGCUCACCAAGCACCAAGUUCUCACAAGUUAUUUUAUGUGACUUUGCAGGAACUGAGGCAUUAUAUCUGAGGACACCAGGGGAAAAGUGUGGCAUCUCAGGGAAAUACAGCCCUGGGCUGUGUCUACACACACCAUGAGAGUGCUGAUGGGGGCGCAAUAGUCUUGAAAAUGUAUAAAGUGUCCAGGAAUGGAAGUGCUCUUUGAUUCAUUAUUAUUUUCUUCCUUCAUAUUCCCCUCCCAGAGUCUCCUAUCUAGGACAUCAGCAUUCUCACACAAGCCUAAUGGCUUAUCUGAGUAAGCAGGGCUUAGAAAUUCACUUUCUUGAUACUCAGUCUUGCCUUCUAAACACUCCUUGAUCUUGCCUACCUCUCCCCUUUUCCACAUGUCUUUUCCUGUAGGAACACUUUCUCCAUUUAUUCCUGCCUAUCCAAUUCUUCCCUAUAUUUCCUGGACCAGCUAAAGUCCAGUGUUUCCAGAGACUUUUGAAAGUCAACUUACACUUUUUCCUUCUUCAUUCACAAAGCUCUUCUUCCCUGGGCCCUGGUAUGUAUGCCUUUCUCUCCUACUGUCUAAUAGCACCUCGUAAAUUGUCAAUGAACUUUUCUAAGGGGUAUUCUUGAAUUCCCAACUAGAUUGUGAGCUUCUGGAAGACAAGGCUAUGUCUUUGAUUGUUGUCUCCCCUACCACAGCCCAGUACUUUAGUUACAGAAAAUAAUAAAUAUUUACUGAUUGAUUGACUUUCCUCUUGUCCACUAGCUUUAGGUUUGGGGGCCAAAUUCUACCCUGGAUUUUGAAAAAUUCAAACUGUGAACACCACAAUGUUAUAGAGCAUAUGAGGUAGUAGCCAGCAUGAAGGAUGUUUUCUUCCUGAGAAACAGUGUCAAGGGCUGGAGGAAGAGGGCAAAAUAGCAGACUCAGAGGGCAAAUAAAUUUUGGUAUUACUUGGUCACACAAGGUUAUACAGGUGUUUUCUUGUAGGAUUUUUCAGAGCCUUUAAUAGUCUAAUGUUGCAUUGAGAAUCUCAAAGAGGAAACCAUAGAAUGAGGCAUUUGCCAUACCUAUCUGAUCAUGAAUUUUCUUUUCCCCCACAGCCUUCUCCUGUGUCAAUGUCCAAUGAAGCACGAUUUGGGAAACUGUCCUAGAGAAACUUUAUACCUUCCCGCUCUUCUGGAGAUCUUUUCCUCUUUUCAUUCAUCUACUUUCCCCAACCAGCCAUCUGCCUAAGAAAGGUCACAUGUUAUCAUCUCAUUUUUGUUUAGCCUCUGCAGCUGUGGACUAUCUUUAUUACAUAGGAAUUCUUUACUAGCUUGUCCUGUAUUUAAAAAUAUUCUAAGUUUUGAGGCAAAGAAGAUCCAGAUGCUGCAAUAAAUAUAUGCACUGAGGAGUU
rnacentral:lncRNA from 10 species